GUAGGUGGCAAGCGUUGUCCGGAAUUAUUGGGCGUAAAGCGCGCGCAGGCGGAUAGGUCAGUCUGUCUUAAAAGUUCGGGGCUUAACCCCGUGAUGGGAUGGAAACUGCCAAUCUAGAGUAUCGGAGAGGAAAGUGGAAUUCCUAGUGUAGCGGUGAAAUGCGUAGAUAUUAGGAAGAACACCAGUGGCGAAGGCGACUUUCUGGACGAAAACUGACGCUGAGGCGCGAAAGCCAGGGGAGCGAACGGGAUUAGAUACCCCGGUAGUCCUGGCCGUAAACGAUGGGUACUAGGUGUAGGAGGUAUCGACCCCUUCUGUGCCGGAGUUAACGCAAUAAGUACCCCGCCUGGGGAGUACGACCGCAAGGUUG
rnacentral:rRNA from 1 species